UUUAAAGGAAGGGAAGCCGUGAUCUGAUU
rnacentral:piRNA from 1 species